ACCACACUAGGGGGAUCAUUGACCGGUUAGCUAAGCCAGCUUUUUGUCUUCUGUGCUGCCAGAGCAGCUCUCAAAGGGGGUUGUAGUGGGGGGAGGGGAUGGAAGCAUCUGUCCCAAAGUGUCUGUGGGUCCAGUGCUGUAACUGAAGUUGUAUUAAAAUCCACUUUGCUACAGUGACAAAGCUACUGGCAUGAGUAAGGGUCGGAAGAUUGUGCCCUUUUAUCUUGUUGAUUGAGAGAAACAGGCCUAGAAGUCAAAUUCCAUUUAGCACAAUUGCGUUUCAUCUUGACCCGCAUCGUUGGGAUGGAUGCCAAUUUCAAUCCGAUCAGUGUAAAUCAGGAGUAACAGCAGUGAGGGUCGUCGUCCUCCCCCCGCCCCCGCAACCGCUCUCCCCCUGGCUAACUAUAGCUGCACUAUAAAGUCUAAAGCACUUGCAGCAGCGUUCAAGAUGAAACCCAUACUCUCAAGAUGAAAGACUUCAGCUGCUAAUACAAAGGUUCCUGCUUGAAAACCUGCAUCCCCUGAAGAACUAAAUAAAACCCAGAGGAAGUGGAGCAUGAUAGCACUGAGCUUUAGGGCAGACUGCCUCAGCAUUACUGGGCUAGUGGUGUUAUCCUUCUCACCAGUGACGAAAAUCAAAUGGGGAAGAGAAACAGAACAAAGGGUAAAAUUAGAGCUGAGGUGUAACCAAUGAGAUCCUAAGACAGGAAAGCAAAGAGCAUGUGUCAUACGUAUUUGACCUGAUUGGCAAGUGUUGAUAUGGUCCACACCAUCCAUUAAAUUAUCCGUUGUACCAAUGUA